rnacentral:rRNA from 1 species
UUCGAGACCUAUGUAACAGAGUAGUCGCCCCGGCUAGUCGGGUCAUAUGAUUCGACGACAUGCGCUAGCAUUUCUAGCGAUGUAAUCCGCGGCAGUCGGGCUUGCGUGUGCCCAACUGAACUGAUGCUGACCUAGCGACAGCGGGUGGAGCUAAUCACGAAUACUUUACCCUACUACUCCGGGCCGGAGACUGACGACUACCCAUGCGUCGCGUAGCCUUAGGUCCGCAGAUAGCAGUUCUGACUCUCAGAUGGUGAGAAGAUGUCCAAACCUGGUACGGUACGGCAGUUGCUUGGAACUGAACAAGCAGCGGCGCAUGCUGGUGCAAGUCGACGUCAAUUGCUUUGAGUUUCAGCUCUCGAUAGUCCUUGACCAUCGGAGAGCUCAGAGUUUUACUUGGGGACAGAGUCUCAGCUGGUGCAUAGCACUCAUCAGCUCGUGUCGUGAGAUGUUGGGUAUCUAAUCCGCAACGCGCGCAACGCCUUCGCUCCUUAGCGUCAGUAUUUUUGCAGCACCUAAGCAUCCCCCCGUGGAUUCCUCGGAGGAAGGUGGGGGAUGACGUCAAACCCUAGGAAUUCUUAUGACCUCGGCAAUACUCAAGUCUCAAAGUUUCAAAUGGAGGUCCACGAAACCGCAAGGUCAAUCCACUUCCUUCAUAAAGAUCUCACUUCGGAUUGCAGACUGACAGUAACCUGCAAGAAGUCGGAUUUCCUAGUAAUCGCGGCUCCGAAUGCCACGUAGUUAGCGUUACCUUUCUCUUUACACCCCUCUCUUUUCACCACGAGAGUUGGCAGCUCCCGAAGUCAGUGCGACAACCGUAAGGACUCAACUGCCGAAGAAGGGUUCGGUAAUUGGGGCGAAGUCCUCUCAAGGUACCCAACGUCGAAUCGUUUAUCCCUGCAGGACUAUACCACUAGUGAGAGAUAAAUCCAG